AGCUCCAAUAGCGUAUAUUAAAGUUGUUGCAGUUAAAAAGCUCGUAGUUGGAUUUGUGGUUGGGCUGUCCGGUCCUUCGCUCAGCGUUGGAUUCUGGCCGGUCCGAUCAUCCUUGGGUGGAAUCUGUGUGGCAUUAAGUUGUCGUGCAGGGGAUGCCCAUCGUUUACUGUGAAAAAAUUAGAGUGUUCAAAGCAAGCUUAGGCUGUUGAAUAUAUUAGCAUGGAAUAAUAAGAUAGGACCUCGGUACUAUUUUGUUGGUUUGCGUACCGAUGUAAUGAUUAACAGGGACAGUUGGGGGUAUUCGUAUUUGUUUGUAAGAGGUGAAAUUCUUGGAUUUUACAAAGACGAACUACUGCGAAAGCAUUUACCAAGGAUGUUUUCAUUAAUCAAGAACGAAAGU
rnacentral:rRNA from 1 species